rnacentral:lncRNA from 1 species
UGGCACAAGUAAAUGGGACGGUGCGGGUUCACGGGAUAAGCAGGACGACCAUCCGAAGAUGAUAAAAAGCAAGACCUGCAUAGUGAAAACAAGGCGAUUAGGCGUGGUGCCACAAGCGCUGUUGCCAUGUCCACUGAAGUGUAGGUCGAUGGGUCGGCAGCUUAAAUCAGCCUCUCCUGGUGAUGGCUGUGUCGAUGUGGCUGGGAGGCCGAAGGAAACGUCGAGCGAAUAGGUCGGUAUCGCGGCUGGCGUAUCGCUGAAAUAGGCUUCGUUCAUGCCUGAGGCUGGCACAAGUAAAUGGGACGGUGCGGGUUCACGGGAUAAGCAGGACGACCAUCCGAAGAUGAUAAAAAGCAAGACCUGCAUAGUGAAAACAAGGCGAUUAGGCGUGGUGCCACAAGCGCUGUUGCCAUGUCCACUGAAGUGUAGGUCGAUGGGUCGGCAGCUUAAAUCAGCCUCUCCUGGUGAUGGCUGUGUCGAUGUGGCUGGGAGGCCGAAGGAAACGUCGAGCGAAUAGGUCGGUAUCGCGGCUGGCGUAUCGCUGAAAUAGGCUUCGUUCAUGCCUGAGGCUGGCACAAGUAAAUGGGACGGUGCGGGUUCACGGGAUAAGCAGGACGACCAUCCGAAGAUGAUAAAAAGCAAGACCUGCAUAGUGAAAACAAGGCGAUUAGGCGUGGUGCCACAAGCGC